rnacentral:rRNA from 1 species
CCAAGCCGACGAUCAGUAGCCGACCUGAGAGGGUGACCGGCCACAUUGGGACUGAGACACGGCCCAAACUCCUACGGGAGGCAGCAGUGGGGAAUAUUGCACAAUGGGCGAAAGCCUGAUGCAGCAACGCCGCGUGAGCGAUGAAGGCCUUCGGGUCGUAAAGCUCUGUCCUCAAGGAAGAAAAUGACGGUACCUGACUAAGAAGCCCCGGCUAACUAC